AAUCUAAUAAAAAAAUGUUUUUUACAGUAUAAACUAUGUUUAAUAAUCUUUCUGGUUGCUUAGUUACUACUAAAUGGGUUUAGUGUUAGGUAUCGGGAGUGGUUUGUUUACCUUAUGCGUUGUAUGGUUUAUUGGUUUGGCUCUCUGCUUGUUCUUGUUAAGGUCUGGAAAUAGCGGUGGCGUAUUUGGUGUUGUUGUUCUGCUUAUUUUGUUUACUUUAUCGAUUGUCUUAUUCCCCAGGAAAGCUAUUGAUGAAAAUGUUGUUCCAAUUAAAAAGAUUUUUGAUACGCUGUUCAUUCCAAGAAUAACAUAUGCCAUAUUUAUUAUUUUAUUCGUAUUAAUUGCAAUGGCUGCCUAUUUUAUGGAUCAUGUGCUCAUGCAAAACGUUGCCAUGGCUGCAAAAAACAAGAAGAAGUUCACAUUCUAACGCAUUACGUUUUUAGAGAUCUUUGUUUUAAAGUUUCUAAAUAUUUUGGCUAAAUUAUAUUGAAUUUAAAGUUUAA